rnacentral:rRNA from 1 species
AUUGAACGCUGGCGGCAUGCCUUACACAUGCAAGUCGAACGGCAGCACGGGAGCAAUCCUGGUGGCGAGUGGCGAACGAGUGAGUAAUACAUCGGAACGUGCCCAGUAGUGGGGGAUAACCCGGCGAAAGCCGGACUAAUACCGCAUACGACCUACGGGUGAAAGCAGGGAUCGCAAGACCUUGCGCUAUUGGAGCGGCCGAUGUCAGAUUAGCUUGGGUGGGUAAAGCCUACCAAGCAACGAUCUGUAGCUGGUCUGAGAGGACGACCAGCCACACUGGGACUGAGACACGGCCCAGACUCCUACGGGAGGCAGCAGUGGG